GUCUGUUUUCCUGCCUUUCUCAACUGCCACAUUUUGGAUUAUCUGUUUAGGGACUUAGUAACCUUUUGCCUAGUUUGGAUUACCUUAUUUUGUGGAUCUCCUUGGUUUGUGUUGGACUGCCUCACUUUGAGUGCCUGGACUUAUUUGUCUGGCUGUGCUGACUGCUGCAGGUCUGGCUGUGCUGACUGUUGCAG